ACUCAGCUGAUGAGUCGCGAAUAGGACGAAACGCGUGUCAAAUUGGAU
rfam:Schistosoma haematobium scaffold215_9, whole genome shotgun sequence.